rnacentral:rRNA from 1 species
GAUGAACGCUGGCGGUGUGCCUAAUACAUGCAAGUCGAGCGAACAGACGAGGAGCUUACUCCUCUGACGUUAGCGGCGGACGGGUGAGUAACACGUGGAUAACCUACCUAUAAGACUGGGAUAACUUCGGGAAACCGGAGCUAAUACCGGAUAACAUGUUGAACCGCAUGGUUCAACAGUGAAAGACGGUCUUGCUGUCACUUAUAGAUGGAUCCGCGUCGCAUUAGCUAGUUGGUAAGGUAACGGCUUACCAAGGCAACGAUGCGUAGCCGACCUGAGAGGGUGAUCGGCCACCCUGGAACUGGGACACGGUCCAGACUCCUACGGGAGGCAGCAGUAGGGAAUCUUCCGCAAUGGGCGAAAGCCUGACGGAGCAACGCCGCGUGAGUGAAGAAGGUCUUCGGAUCGUAAAACUCUGUUAUUAGUGAAGAACAAAUGUGUAAGUAACUAUGCACGUCUUGACGGUACCUAAUCAGAAAGCCACGGCUAACUACGUG